rnacentral:miRNA from 1 species
AACUACUUUUUUCCCCUUUAAAACAUAUACUUUUAGUAAAAAUUAAUAGAUUCUAAUAAUAAAGUUGUUUUAUCUAUCUAUCUCUAUUAUCGAUGUUUCUUUACUAGAUAACUUAUUUAAGAUUUGUGGGGAUUGAAAAAUCUGGAAAUGCUGAUAUUGUAAUAGAUGUUUUCAA